rnacentral:rRNA from 1 species
AUUGAACGCUGGCGGCAGGCUUAACACAUGCAAGCCGAGCGGAGUGAUGGUGCUUGCACUAUCACUUAGCGGCGGACGGGUGAGUAAUGCUUAGGAAUCUGCCUAUUAGUGGGGGACAACAUCUCGAAAGGGAUGCUAAUACCGCAUACGUCCUACGGGAGAAAGCAGGGGAUCACUUGUGACCUUGCGCUAAUAGAUGAGCCUAAGUCGGAUUAGCUAGUUGGUGGGGUAAAGGCCUACCAAGGCGACGAUCUGUAGCGGGUCUGAGAGGAUUAGCCUCCACACUGGGACUGAGACACGGCCCAGACUCCUACGGAAGGCAGCAGUGGGGAAUAUUGGACAAUGGGGGGAACCCUGAUCCAGCCAUGCCGCGUGUGUGAAGAAGGCCUUAUGGUUGUAAAGCACUUUAAGCGAGGAGGAGGCUCUUUUGGUUAAUACCCAAGAUGAGUGGACGUUACUCGCAGAAUAAGCACCGGCUAACUCUGUGCCAGCAGCCGCAGUAAUAC